rnacentral:rRNA from 1 species
UACGUAGGGUGCAAGCGUUGUCCGGAAUUAUUGGGCGUAAAGAGCUCGUAGGCGGUCUGUCGCGUCUGCUGUGAAAACCCAGGGCUUAACCCUGGGCCUGCAGUGGGUACGGGCAGACUAGAGUGCGGUAGGGGAGAUCGGAAUUCCUGGUGUAGCGGUGAAAUGCGCAGAUAUCAGGAGGAACACCGGUGGCGAAGGCGGAUCUCUGGGCCGUAACUGACGCUGAGGAGCGAAAGCAUGGGUAGCGAACAGG